AUCCAGCUGACGAGUCCCACAAUAGAACGAAACGCGCGUCCUGGAU
rfam:Schistosoma rodhaini strain Burundi genome assembly, scaffold: SROB_scaffold0007820